rnacentral:lncRNA from 1 species
CCUUCCUUCUCGUGUCGGUGUGCAUGUUCGCCGACUAAUGCAGUCAUCGAAUUUUAUCGUGGGAGAGGUUUCAAUUUUUCUAAUUUUCGGGUGCCGGUGGUCGUCGCCGGCCACCAGUUUGGGUUUCUUUGGAUGGUGGGUCACCCUCCUCAUGCCGUCAGCCAUCCCUAUGCCAGUCGGCCGCUGGUCAACCAACCAAAUG